AUGCCAUCCCACCUCAGAUCUUCAAGUGUGCCUUCAAGCCCCUGCGCGGGCGAAACCAACGUUGAAGCACAACUUCAGAGCCUAAACACCGCCGUCUCCUCACCCUCUUCGACCAUCGAGACAAUGCUUGACGGGUUGAGGAGGCUCGGAGAUAUUUACGACUGCAUCGACGAGCUCGCAAGCUUACCCAGGAGCCAAGCUCUCAUCUGCAAGCCGCAGCAUAGGAUUGCUGUGGAGCAAGAGCUCGAGCGCUCCCUGGUGUUGCUCGACCUCUGCGACGCGGUGCAAGUGAGCUUCUCCGAGCUCAAGGCGAGCGUACAGGACAUGCAGCUGAUUAUCAAGAGAGGAGAUGAUGCGGCUCUUCAGGCCAAGAUCCAGUCUUGGUUCCGCCUGACCAAGAAAGCGCAAAAGCAGUUCAAGAAGACCAGCAGAAACUCUUCUCCGGCUGAUGUCGAGAGCUGCAGAAUGGUCUGUCUGUUGGCUAAAGCUAGGGACGUCGCUGUCACAACGAUUGAAUCCUCGGUGGAACUCCUGUCGAAGCAAAUUGCAGCGCCGAAUUCCAGCAAGUGGUCUCUUGUACCCAAGGCGUCCCAGAAGAGAAGUGUGACGUGCAAGGAGGAGCAAUUGCAGGUGCUGGAGUUGGACAUUGUUGAUCUUGAGAGCGGAGUCGAGUCUUUGUUCAGGAGAUUGAUCCAGAGCAGAGUUUCUCUUCUGAAUACUCUGAGCUUGUAG
rnacentral:rRNA from 1 species